rnacentral:lncRNA from 1 species
CAAGGUCCAGCAGGAUCGGGCAAAAUUGAUCAUUUUAAAGUCUUUGCUCCAUUCCCGUUACACGACAACGAGCAAAGAGGGGUAGCUGUAAUACCCAAUUUGCCCGGCCCAGUAAACGCCAAAAGAAAAAUCAAAAAUAAAACACAAAAAUAAAUAAAAAUCAAAUAAUAGUCCAAAUGUCUAGUUAUACAAACCCGAUUAUAAGCCCAAAAUUACAACUAAAAAGCCCAAUCCCAUGCCCAAACCUAGUUCACCCCAAGCCCAAAAUCCACCGAAACCUUAACAGUACCCAGUUCCCAGUGCCGCAGCAGCCAAGACCUCCGCACGUGCCAAGCUGCUCCCCACGUGUGUAACACCUCCACGCGCCUCCAGCUGGCCUCAGUACACGCCAUGUCCACCGCCUCCAUACAUAGUACAUGCAAAUAGAACAAAAAC